UGCGGUUAUUUUCAACACGUGAUUUUCGAGUCACUAAUCGGCGGUCUGCUUAAUUGGCCUUAGUGGUUUGUAACCGUGGAGCAUCUUAGCGAAAGUAACAGUACGUAUGCUUAUUUUUCCAAAUAAACAUUUAAAAGUGGAGCUCAAGAGCGAAUUGAGAAGAAAGAGAAAGAAUUUGACAAGGCAAAGCUUCUGUAAUUAGAUAAAUUUCUUCCUGUAUCUCGUCUACAUUCAUCGGAUUUAAGUGCCAUUAUUUGUGGGAAGGAAAUGACGUCGAAUGACCAACAAAUGAGAAAGCAUGAGGGUGGUAGAUCUGCGCGUACAAAGUGCUAUGAACGAGCGCGAAGUAUUGAGAAGUGAAGAGAGCAUGGCACAAAGGAGAACACUUCAGUUGGGCACUGAGGCGUUCAUGCUUCAUCUCACCAGCAUCUACACGUUGCUCAUGAUUCAAGGUGCAAGUCAGUAGAUAUCGCAAUUAAGUUAAAAAAAUUGUUGCUUGACAUCAACAAAGUUUCGAGCGAAGUCAUGAAUAAUGCAUUACCUUGUUCUCUCUCUCUCUCUCUCUCUCUCUCUCUCUCUCUCUCUCUCUCUCUCUCUCUCUUUAAUCAUUGUGUUAGUGAAAAGCCAAGUAGCCCAUUAAAACUCUGAUUAUGCUGAGGCAGCUAGCAUUCAGUUACAGCUCCGAUUCCUACAAGAAUAGUCCGACAGGCUUCUGUGUCCUUGCAAAUGACUUUGUCUUUUAUUUAAUGGAUUUUUUUUUUUUUUUUUUUUUUUAAAGUUUCAUUAUCUUUGUGACCCCUAAGCUAAUUAAAUUGCCUUUGUUCUGACAGAUGGUAGAAGUGUUAAGGGACAGUUUGUAACUUCAGAGGAGUUUCUUGUCGUGCUUAGUCUUUUUAUUUAUUUAUUUUUUUUAAAAAAAGAAAUACCCCGCUUUUAUUUUGUUUUGUUGCGCGCACACUGUUUUCUCAGCUAUGUUUGAUUCCACAGACAUCUUUCAGGAUUUAUAAAGUUCCUUAAACUCUCAGUUGGAUUCCUCUCUAUUUGUAAGCAGCGGUUAGAGAAAUACACGACACCCAAACGGUUUCUUUUCUUUCCUUUCUUUCUUUCUUUCUUUCUUUCUUUCUUUCUUUCUUCUUUUAUGUCGAAUUUUUAUUUUUGUUGGGUUUCAGUGAUUUUUCUGGUAAGAAGUGAAUGCAUGUUUGCGAGUGUGACAAGUAAUAAUAUUCAGUCAUUUUCAGUGACCUG
ensembl:lncRNA